UACGUAGGGUGCAAGCGUUAAUCGGAAUUACUGGGCGUAAAGCGUGCGCAGGCGGUGAUGUAAGACAGGUGUGAAAUCCCCGGGCUUAACCUGGGAACUGCAUUUGUGACUGCAUCGCUGGAGUGCGGCAGAGGGGGAUGGAAUUCCGCGUGUAGCAGUGAAAUGCGUAGAUAUCGGAAGGAACAUCAGUGGCGAAAGCGACUUCCUGGACCAGUACCGACGUUCAGGCACGAAAGCGUGGGGAGCAAACAGG
rnacentral:rRNA from 1 species